rnacentral:misc_RNA from 1 species
CUCCGAUCAUCAGUAUCCGAUCCGGCCACCAUGGUCCAAUUCCACGAGCACAUAAUCACAGACCUUCUGGAGGACCCCGCCGGUGGACUUGUAAUCCUUUCCUCCGGUCUUUCCCUUCCCAAACUCGUUUCCUCUCUCCUUCUCCUCCACCACCCCUCCCAAGGCACUCUCCUCAUCCUUUCCCCUUCUCCUUCCCUCAAAUCCCAAAUUCUCCACCACCUCAAAACCCACCACCACUUCUCCCCUGAAAACCACCAAAU